rnacentral:lncRNA from 1 species
GCGUGGAAUAAGGAAACUGGACAAUUUUGAAGAGGACACCAUCAGGGACGCCGGAACUAGGGGGCAGGAGGGGCAGCCGCCCCGUUGCCCUUUAUACCAGGAGGGGCAAGGGGGGGGGGGGGCAAAAGUGCCCUUUCAAUUUAAAGGAUCGCCUUGACGAAAUAGCGAAUUGUCAGAAAGGUUAGUGCAAUUCUUUUACGAAUUUGCUUCAGAAAACGCAAGAAAUGCAGUCAUUGGACACCAUUAUUCAACAGUCUAUCAGUGAGGUAUUGUGUGCUGUAACUGAUUACUUUAAAUAGAUAUCAAUAUGCCAUAUAUACGUAUAGCGUUGGGUAAUAUUGUGAAGGCAAAACAGUUUAACAUUCAUAAUUAAUUGAAAUUGAGAAGAAUAAAAGUAACUAGUAUUAAUAGUUACCUUUGAUGCCUCACGAAUGUGGGACAUCAAAC